GUAUAACUGUCAGCUGUUAGUUAUUUUAAAGGCAUUUUUCUGUGGUCAGCAAACAUGCUCAUUAUUGUCAGUUUGUACACAUCUCUCUAAAGUUUGCUAACAGCAGCCACAUUGCUACUGACCUUACAAAGAAAGGCUGCAAUGUUACAAUAUUUUGAGUGCACUUAUAUGAGCUAGGGUGUGUUUUAAAACUCAUGAAUUCAACUGUUCAUCUGUGGGAGGAAGGCAGUUUUUGAGUUGUAAAACUGCUCAAACAAGGCCAGUGGUGGUAAAUUGGUAAAUUGUAGUGAAUGGAACAAAACUGUUCAUUGUGGAGACACACAAAGAUAUUAGAUUCAUGGUUGAAGGAUAUUCUGUCAUAAGUGAAAGCGUUUCAUCUAGUCAAAAGGAGAGAAAGGAUUAAAUAAGUUGUGUUGAGUGAGUGAAAAAGUGGGAGGAAUUGUACAUAUAACGUUUCAUUGUUACUAAUUCACUGGAUUGAUAGCUCUUAACAAGUAAGCACAAAUGUUGAUAACAUUAAAUUGUGUCGUCAGGUGAGAUUAUGUUUUUUUUUUUUUCAAAAUAGGUAUUGCACAGAUGGCUUAUUCUUUAUUGUGCUGAAAACCUCCUUAAUGGACUUUUUAUGUUUUUGUUUGUAUGAGCGAUGAUUAAAGUAGCUCUUACGUGCACCCAUUUCAAUGAUGUUCUGUUGAUCAGUAUUUAUCAGAAUAAUUAAAAGCCUGCAACAUAAUAAAACCCUUUUUUGAGGAUCCAAAGUCUGUCAUCUGCUACUGACAGUGAUGUGGUUUUCUUUCUAAAGGAAGAAAACCAAACAUAUUCAGUUAUUGCUACAGUCACAAUAGAGAAAACAGUGAUUGGAGACAACAGCAUAACCAAAACAAGAGCACUCAGAGCGCACAACUCCCACCGAAGGGCAAGGGCUGUACUAAAACUUUAAUGUUUUAUGUUGAUGUCAGCAUUGGUAAGAUGGAAAUCUACUGUAGUAGAUUCAUCUUUUUUGUCAUUGUGAAGUCAUAUUAUGUUCUAUUGAAAAUACAACAUAUUAUGUAUUUAUGUUGUAAUAAAAUAA
ensembl:lncRNA